rnacentral:rRNA from 1 species
CGCGGCGGACGGGUGAGUAACACGUGGGUAACCUGCCCAUAAGACUGGGAUAACUCCGGGAAACCGGGGCUAAUACCGGAUAACAUUUUUGAACCGCAUGGUUCGAAAUUGAAAGGCGGCUUCGGCUGUCACUUAUGGAUGGACCCGCGUCGCAUUAGCUAGUUGGUGAGGUAACGGCUCACCAAGGCAACGAUGCGUAGCCGACCUGAGAGGGUGAUCGGCCACACUGGGACUGAGACACGGCCCAGACUCCUACGGGAGGCAGCAGUAGGGAAUCUUCCGCAAUGGACGAAAGUCUGACGGAGCAACGCCGCGUGAGUGAUGAAGGCUUUCGGGUCGUAAAACUCUGUUGUUAGGGAAGAACAGUCU